rnacentral:rRNA from 1 species
CGGGUGAGUAAUGCGUGACCAACCUGCCCCAUGCUCCAGAAUAGCUCUUGGAAACGGGUGGUAAUGCUGGAUGCUCCAACUUGACGCAUGUCUUGUUGGGAAAGUGUUUAGUGGCAUGGGAUGGGGUCGCGUCCUAUCAGCUUGUAGGCGGGGUAAUGGCCCACCUAGGCUUCGACGGGUAGCCGGCCUGAGAGGGCGGACGGCCACAUUGGGACUGAGAUACGGCCCAGACUCCUACGGAGCAGCAGUG